GAUGAACGCUGGCGGCGUGCCUAAUACAUGCAAGUCAAGCGAACAGACGAUAAGCUUGCUCCUCUGACGUUAGCGGCGGACGGGUGAGUACCACGUGAAUAACCUACCUAUACGACUGGGAUAACUUCGAGAAACCGGAGCUAAUACCGGAUACAGUAUUGAAACACCUGGUUAGAUAUUAAAAGAAGGUUUUGCUGUCACUUAUAGGUGGCUCAUCGCCUCAUUAGCUGGUUGGUAAGGUAACGGCUUACCAAGGCAACGAUGCGUAGCUGACAUGAGAGUGUGAUAGGAUAAACAGCAACUGAGAAACGGUGCCACCGCCUACGCUAGGAAGCGGUAGAGAAGUUACCGAAAUGGGUGAAAGGCUGACGUAGCAACGCCGCGUGGGUGAGGAAGGGCCUCAGAUCGUAAACUUGUGUUAUUAGGGAAGAACAAAUGAGAAAGUAACUAUGCACGUCUUGACGGUACCUAAUCAGAAAGCCACGGCUAACUACGUG
rnacentral:rRNA from 1 species